AAGCAUAUAUAUGGGGGCCCAGUGUGCCAUGGCUGCAAACAGUAGCCUCCUCGGUAGUGUAUGCAGCCUGUUGAUUGUAUGGGUUGCCCUAAGGGACCUUGGAGACAGCC
rnacentral:snoRNA from 1 species